rnacentral:piRNA from 1 species
UGGGCCCGGCACAAAACUAAA